CCCUUGAACUCCUUNACGUGUGCUAUCUAAGGCUAACCCUGGACGUGCAGGCGAUACGGGCUGACUUGAGUACUACAGGGGAGACUGGAAUUUCUGGUGUAGCGGUGGAAUGCACAGAUAUCAGGAAGAACACCGAUGGCGAAGGCAGGUCUCUGGGUAGUAACUGACGCUGAGGAGCGAAAGCAUGGGUAGCGAACAGGAUUAGAUACCCUGGUAGUCCAUGCCGUAAACGGUGGGCGCUAGGUGUGGGGUUCCUUCCACGGGCUCCGCGCCGUAGCUAACGCAUUAAGCGCCCCGCCUGGGGAGUACGGCCGCAAGGCUAAAACUCAAAGAAAUUGACGGGGGCCCGCACAAGCGGCGGAGCAUGUGGAUUAAUUCGAUGCAACGCGAAGAACCUUACCUGGGCUUGACAUAUAGAGGAUCGCUACAGAGAUGUGGUUUCCCUUGUGGCUUCUAUACAGGUGGUGCAUGGUUGUCGUCAGCUCGUGUCGUGAGAUGUUGGGUUAAGUCCCGCAACGAGCGCAACCCUUGUCUUAUGUUGCCAGCACGUUAUGGUGGGGACUCGUGAGAGACUGCAAAA
rnacentral:rRNA from 1 species